GCCUGGGUGGCUCAGUUGGUUAAGCUCCCGACUUUGGCUCAGGUCAUGAUCUCCCAGUUCGUGAGUUUGAGCCUCGCAUCAGGCU
rnacentral:tRNA from 1 species